AUUGAACGCUGGCGGCAGGCCUAACACAUGCAAGUCGAACGAGUGGCGGACGGGUGAGUAAUGUCUGGGAAACUGCCUGAUGGAGGGGGAUAAAUAAUGGAAACGGUAGCUAAUACCGCAUACCAUCGGAGGUGCCCAGAUGGGAUUAGCUAGUUGGUGGGGUAAAGGCAAACCAAGGCGACGAGCCCUAGCUGGUCUGAGAGGAUGACCAGACACACUGGAACUGAGACACGGUCCAUACCCCUACGGGAGGCAGCAGUGGGGAAUAUUGCACAAUGGGCGCAAGCCUGAUGGAGCCAGGCCGCGUGUAUGAAGAAGGCCUUCGGGUUGUAAAGUACUUUCAGCGGGGAGGCGUUACCCGCAGAAGAAGCACCGGCUAACUCCGUGCCAGCAGCCGCGGUAAUAC
rnacentral:rRNA from 1 species